rnacentral:rRNA from 1 species
UACAGAGGGUGCAAGCGUUAAUCGGAGUUACUGGGCGUAAAGGGCGCGUAGGCGGAUAUUUAAGUCGGAUGUGAAAUCCCUGGGCUUAACCUAGGAAUUGCAUUCGAUACUGGGUAUCUAGAGUAUGGUAGAGGAAAGCGGAAUUCUCGGUGUAGCGGUGAAAUGCAUAGAUAUCGGGAAGAACACCAGUGCGAAGGCGGCUUUCUGGACCAAUACUGACGCUGAGGCGCGAAAGCGUGGGGAGCAAACAGGAUUAGAUACCCCCGUA